AUUACCUGAGGAUCUUGUUAAAAAGUAGAUUCUACUUUAGAAGGAAGAUGUGGAGUGGGGCCCAAGAGUCUGCAUUUCUAGCAAGCUUCCAGGUGAAGCUGA
rnacentral:pre_miRNA from 1 species